rnacentral:tRNA from 1 species
GGCGGUGUGCCCGAGUGGCCAAAGGGAGCAGACUGUAAAUCUGCCGGCUCAGCCUUCCCAGGUUCGAAUCCUGGCGCCGCCACCA